GGGUCGCAUACCUGAGCUAUCUCCAUCCUCGGAGACCGACGAGCUCUCGGUGUCCUCGUCCUCGGAGCUGCUCCCCUCAUUUUCGGCGUAGUCCACCUCCAUCUCAUCGUGAUGAUUCUGCCUCUGAAGGGAAGCAAUUUAAAUUCCAACCACUACCACGUGGUGGAGCUGAGACAUCAGCUGUACAUCUACGGACCUUGUCACUGCUGACUGACCCAGGCCAGAUGCUGGUAGCUGGAAAAAACAAACGCAGGAGACAAGAGGCAGCAACUGAUGGCUAAUACUCAAAUCAGGGUAAACACUUUAAUCAUUCACACUAAAUGUAGGUCUUUAGAGACUUACCGUGACAACUAAAUGAGACCAAUUUAUAAUUACACAAUUGUAUAAGACCAUGAUUCCAAUUGCAUAAGAAUAAAACACAUAAGAAUAAAACAAUCUAAAGGUGCUUGAAAUAGUCUGUUCACUGGUAUAGGGCCUAUCCUUGUAUUAAUUGUCUAUUUGUAGACGUUAGUUCUGGAAUUAAACAAUAAACUUGUUAACAUUCCUA